UUUACUUUGGCAGAUUAAGUGUGAAUAAUUUAGAUUUAUUAGAUGUUUAAACACAAGUAAAU
rnacentral:tRNA from 1 species